CAGGGAGAAGAGGUGAGGACAGGCUAGAGAGCUCUCCUCCAUAUGGAGUUUUCAUCAGGAAAGCAAUUACCUUCCAAGAAGCUUCCUACAGAUUUCCUUUCAUGUUUCAUGGCCAGAACUGGAUCAUAUGAACACCCCUCCCUAUAAGAGAGGCUGGAAAAGUGAGCAUCUGCCUUUUUGGCCUUUAGAAAGAAAGGAGGGCAAGUGAAGGCCUUGGGAAUGGCUUUGGAGAUGGCAAAAUCUGGUUUGGCAUGGCAGAUAAAUGUUCAGAAAAAAAUGAAAUUUUAAAGUAUCAAGCCACCAUUUUUCACGUCUUGAAUAGGCAAAGAGUUUGAAGAUGAUGAUUCUCUCAAGAUUGGUAGGGUGUAACGAAAUGUCUGAUUUCACCAAGUUCAGGGCACUCUACUCAUGUGCGUUGGCCCCUCGAGCUUGGACAGAAAAUUCAGAAACGACAUCAAGGCUGCCAAUCUGAUAGAGUCAGCACCAACAUGAAUGUCAACCAGAGACCUCUUGGCAUAAUGAAAAAUAGUUCAAUGGGGAAUUUGAAGCUUUCGUAAACAAAGUGAGGAUUGAGCUUAAAAUAGGGUGAGAAUUUGAGGAGGCAUCUGUCCCCUUCUCUCUUCACCUCUGACUGCUUCUGCCUUCUUGUGCUUUGCGCCUGUUGAGAGCAAGGAAGGAAGAUGAGAAAUAAUUCUUCUAGAGCCACUUAACCUUUUGCUGGUAUUUGUUUAGAAGUGAUACAUUUUCACAUGUCAGUGAUUAUUUAGCAUGUAGUGUGUAAACUGGCUAGGAAAAAAUCUAUUUGUGUAGAUGAAGACAUAUUUUCAAUGGACUUUACCUUGAAAGUGAAAAUUGUGAAGGUAGUUUUCUAUAUGUGAAAAUUUGUUUCAUGGUUCUAUUAUUUGCAAUGCCAUUUUGAAUUUUGAGAACACUAGAGUCUGUAUUCCAUUCCUCCUCUCUUUCUUAAACUUGGAUCAAUUUUCUCCUGCGUGAAGUUUAAAGUAAUAAAAGCUGAGAAACCAUUUACUCAAUGCCUCCUGUUGCAUAGCAAUCUAAACAAACAAGCCCCUUUUUUUCUGUUAAGAACUU